GACGGCCGGCUACCGCUGCCGCCACCGCCCCGUCGCCGCGCUCCUCCGAAGGACGCGCCAUCUCGUUCCCACUCCCUUCGAUCAGGUGGGUUGGCAUCUCCAAGUGUUCACCGGGGGGCGAGCUCGAUUCAGCUCGUGAGAGCGGUGGGGGUAGGAGCGCUUAGGCCGCGCGAAGAUGUCGGAUUUCCAGACCUCCACGCACCGGGAGCGGUGGAUCUUCCAGCCCCAAGACCUGAUAGAUAAGUGGACGUGGGUGAACCGGCGUUCCGCGGAGACCCUCGCGCAGUAUGGAACGACGCGGUUGAAGGUGGACCCUGUCGAUGGGUCGAUAUCGAACCCCGAACCCGCGCCCGAUCACGUUGUCGGGAGCUCGAGUGUGAAGCCUCUAUCCUGCGAAGAGGAGCAAAUGAUGCGGAGAUUUUACGAGCAGAAGAUUCAAGAAGUGUGUAAAGCAUUCAAGUUCCCCCAUAAGAUUCAGGCUACAGCAAUAAUAUAUUUCAAGAGAUUCUAUCUACAGUGGUCUGUAAUGGAGCAUCACCCAAAGCAUAUUAUGUUAACUUGUGUAUAUUCUUCUUGCAAAGUGGAAGAAAAUCAUGUUUCUGCUGAGGAACUUGGCAAAGGAAUUAACCAGGACCACCAGAUUAUUCUAAAUAACGAAAUGAUUGUUCUGAAAUCUUUAGAUUUUGAUUUGAUCGUUUUUGCUCCAUAUCGAUCUAUCGAAGGGUUUAUUGAUGACAUGGAUGAUUUUUGUAGGGCAGGUAAUGGUGCACACCAACGGUUGAAGGAUUUGUAUCAAACUGCGAAUUCUCAUGUUGACAGAAUGAUGUUGACCGACGCGCCUCUUCUCUAUACUCCUGGACAGUUGGCAUUAGCUGCUCUGUACAAGUCCAAUGACGCACUCAAGGUCCUUGAUUUUGAAAGAUACUUGGAAAGUGUUUUUUCAAGGCAACGCCUUGAUUGUCCAAUCGAACAAUUUGUUCAGAUAAUGAAUAUGAUUAAUUACUUGGUUGACCGGCUUCAAAUACUUACUCAAGAAGACAUGAAACAUGCUGAUCGCAAGCUGAGACAUUGCUUGGAUGAGCACAAGAAGAAGGAAAAGAAGCCGAAGCACAAAUCAAAAAGGACUGCUGGUGAUGCCCGGCAGUAAGUACCUUGUAAGGGCAACUGUGUUGUGUAAGAACCAGUUAGAGAAAAUGCGGUGGCUCUCCGGUUGAUAAUCCAACUUCAACUCCGACAUCUCCAGCCAUUGCACCAGCCACGCUAAGCUGAUCUCCUGACCAGCUUAGGCCUUGGCCAAGGACAAGCCAUUUUCAGAUGAUGUGCCUUACUGUGACUAACGUUCAGUGCCAAGGAGCUCUAUGUAUUCUGUAAUAACUUGAUAAUUUUAUUGGAGUAAAUUAAUUGUUGGGCGCGAUGUUAGAGAAACUUGAGGUGUAGAACGUUGGACGCUAUAUUGAUGUAAGUUAAUUCUUUGGCACAUGCGGAGUGACAACCUUGAGUUGUAAAACUUGGGAUGCCACUUUGCUAUAUACAGGAAUGAUAAAAACUGCCUGCCUGUGUCAGGUAAAGUUGCUAGAGUUAAUCUUCA